AAUGAACGUUGGCAGCGUGGAUUAGGCAUGCAAGUCGAGCGACAAGGUCCUGGACGUGGAGGAGCGGCAAACGGGGUAGGUAAUACAUCGGAACGUACCCUCACGUCUGGGAUAGCCACGGGAAACUGUGGGUAAUACUGGAUAAUCUCACCACUUGUGAAGAGUGGUGAGCAAAGGUCCGCCGCGUGAGGAGCGGCCGAUGCGAUACUAGAUAGUUGGUGGGGUAAGUGGCCGUACCAAGUCUAAGAUGUCUAGGGGGUGUGAGAGCAUGGCCCCCACCCACUGGGACUGAGACACUGCCCAGACACCUACGGGUGGCUGCAGUCGAGAAUCUUUGGC
rnacentral:rRNA from 1 species